AUUGAACGCUGGCGGCAGGCCUAACACAUGCAAGUCGAACGAUUGGCGGACGGGUGAGAAAUGUCGGGGAAACUGCCUACUGGAGGGGGAUAACUACUGGAAACGGUAGCUAAUACCGCAUACCAUCAGAUGUGCCCAGAUGGGCUUAGCUAGUAGGUGGGGUAACGGCUCACCAAGGCGACGAUCCCUAGCUGGUCUGAGAGGAUGACCAGCCACCUUGGAACGGCGACACGGUCAAGACUCCUACGGGAGGCAGCAGUGGGGAAUAUUGCAAAAUGGGCGAAAGCCUGAUGCAGCAAUGCCGGGUGUAUGAAGAAGGCCUUCGGGUUGUAAAGUCCUUUCAGAGAGGAGGCGUUACCCGAAGAAGAAGCACCGGCUAACUCCGUGCCAGCAGCCGCGGUAAUAC
rnacentral:rRNA from 1 species